GAUUGCGNAUGGACAAAGUCUGACGCAGCGACGCCGCGUGAAGGAUGAAGGCUCUUUGAGUCGUAAACUUCUGUAGAGAGGGAAGAAUGUCCCGUUCUUCGGGAUUGACGGUACCUCUAAAGUAAGGAUCGGCCAACUACGUGCCAGCAGCCGCGGUAAUACGUAGGAUCCGAGCGUUGUCCGGAAUCACUGGGUGUAAAGGGAGCGCAGGCGGGCUUUCAAGUCGGUGGUGAAAUCUUACAGCUUAACUGUAAAACUGCCUCCGAUACUGGGAGUCUUGAGUGUGGAAGAGGGCGAUGGAAUUCAUGGUGUAGCGGUGAAAUGCGUAGAUAUCAUGAAGAACACCGGUCGCGAAGGCGGUCGCCUGGUCCAUUACUGACGCUCAUGCUCGAAAGUGUGGGGAGCAAACAGGAUUAGAUACCCUGGUAGUCCACACCUUAAACGAUGAAUACUUGGUGUCGGGUCGUAAGGCUCGGUGCCAAAGCUAACGCAUUAAGUAUUCCACCUGGGGAGUACGAUCGCAAGGUUGAAACUCAAAAAAAUUGACGGA
rnacentral:rRNA from 1 species